rnacentral:misc_RNA from 1 species
GAUGAAGAACGCAGCGAAAUGCGAUAAGUAAUGUGAAUUGCAGAAUUCAGUGAAUCAUCGAAUCUUUGAACGCACAUUACGCCCGCCAGUAUUCUGGCGGGCAUGCCUGUUCGAGCGUCAUUUCAACCAUCAAGCCCCCGGCUUGUGUUGGGGACCUGCGGCUGCCGCAGGCCCUGAAAAGCAGUGGCGGGCUCGCUGUCACACCGAGCGUAGUAGCAUACAUCUCGCUCUGGGCGUGCUGCGGGUUCCGGCCGUUAAACCACCUUCAUAACCCAAGGUUGACCUCGGAUCAGGUAGGAAGACCCGCUGAACUUAAGCAUAUCAAUAAGCGGAGGA